AUUGAACGCUGGCGGCAGGCCUAACACAUGCAAGUCGAGCGGAUGAAUUGAGCUUGCUCCUGGAUUCAGCGGCGGACGGGUGAGUAAUGCCCAGGUAUCUGCCGGGUAGUUGGGGAUAACGUCCGGAAAUGGGCGCUAAUUCCGCAUACGUCCUGAUGGAUAAAGUGGGGGAUCUUCGGACCUCGCGCUACCAGAUGAGCGUAGGUCGGAUUAGCUAGUUGGUGGGGUAAAGGCCUACCAAGGCGACGAUCCGUAACUGUUAUGAGAGGAUGGUCAGGCAGACUGGAACUGAGACACGGUCCCGACACUGACGGGGAGACGCAGCGGGGAAUAUUAGGCGAUGGAGGAAAGGCUAAUACAGCACAACGGGGGGUGUGAAGAAGGUCUUCGGAUUGGAAAGCGAUUAAAGUUGGAAGGAAGGGCAGUACGUUAAUGCCUUGCUGUUUUGACGGUACCAAGAGAAUAAGCACCGGCUAACUUCGUG
rnacentral:rRNA from 1 species